UACACUCCUACGGGAGGCAGCAGUGGGGAAUUUUGGACAAUGGGCGAAAGCCUGAUCCAGCAAUGCCGUGUGAGUGAAGAAGGCCUUCGGGUUGUAAAGCUCUUUUGUCAGGGAAGAAACGGUGAGAGCUAAUAUCUUUUGCUAAUGACGGUACCUGAAGAAUAAGCACCGGCUAACUACGUGCCAGCAGCCGCGGUAAUACGUAGGGUGCAAGCGUUAAUCGGAAUUACUGGGCGUAAAGCGUGCGCAGGCGGUUUUGUAAGUCUGAUGUGAAAUCCCCGGGCUCAACCUGGGAAUUGCAUUGGAGACUGCAAGGCUAGAAUCUGGCAGAGGGGGGUAGAAUUCCACGUGUAGCAGUGAAAUGCGUAGAUAUGUGGAGGAACACCGAUGGCGAAGGCAGCCCCCUGGGUCAAGAUUGACGCUCAUGCACGAAAGCGUGGGGAGCAAACAGGAUUAGAAACCCGAGUAGUCCCA
rnacentral:rRNA from 1 species